GGGAAACGAAGAUUCGGCCACCAGAUUGCACGGGAUUGAACAGCUUGCUCUGCACCAUUAGCCCAAAAAUCCAAUCCCGGUCCGGAACGUUAUGUGCAUCCAGGAGCUUUCGCAUCUCUAUUAUGUCGAAGGAGAAGCGUUCGGAAAGCUCUGGAGGAGAGAAUUCAAGACAUGGAUUGGGGCUAAGAACUGAAGAAGAUUGAUGAAGAACGAAAUGAUUAGAAAGCACCUGAGUUCUCCAAGAAACACGCUCCAUUGCAGAGAAAUGAAGAGAGAAAGAUGAAAUUGAC
rnacentral:misc_RNA from 1 species